UCCCUGGUGGUCCAGUGGCUAAGACCACAGACCCAAAUGCAGGGAGCCCAGGUUCAAUUCCUGGUCAGGGAA
rfam:TPA: Bos taurus chromosome 17, whole genome shotgun sequence.